rnacentral:rRNA from 1 species
AUGAGAUCGAGCGCUGGUGGGAGGUACCUCACGGUAAUGGCGGGCGCGGUGGAGCAGCGCUGGAUGCCGAUGGCAUGGAGUUCCUGCUGGAGCCAGGCUACCGGUGAGUUUCCCUCUGGAUUUUCGUGCUUCGAUGGAUUCCCCGCCGCCGCCACUUAUUCUGUUGUGGUUCCCACUCAUGGAGGAGUUCGCGGACAGCUUGAAGCAGCCAAAUCCGGACACUCUAGGGUUCCUCCGUCCAUCCAUGGCCACUGGGCUGCAUCGCCGCCGACGCCGUCGCCACCGCCCCAUCGCCGUCGACCCUGA